rnacentral:rRNA from 1 species
GACGAACGCUGGCGGCGUGCCUAAUACAUGCAAGUAGAACGCUGAAGGAGGAGCUUGCUCUUCUGGAUGAGUUGCGAACGGGUGAGUAACGCGUAGGUAACCUGCCUGGUAGCGGGGGAUAACUAUUGGAAACGAUAGCUAAUACCGCAUAACAGUAGAUGUUGCAUGACAUUUACUUAAAAGGUGCAAUUGCAUCACUACCAGAUGGACCUGCGUUGUAUUAGCUAGUUGGUGGGGUAACGGCUCACCAAGGCGACGAUACAUAGCCGACCUGAGAGGGUGAUCGGCCACACUGGGACUGAGACACGGCCCAGACUCCUACGGGAGGCAGCAGUAGGGAAUCUUCGGCAAUAGACGGAAGUCUGACCGAGCAACGCCGCGUGAGUGAAGAAGGUUUUCGGAUCGUAAAGCUCUGUUGUAAGAGAAGAACGAGUGUGAGAGUGGAAAGUUCACACUGUGACGGUAUCUUACCAGAAAGGGACGGCUAACUACGUG